rnacentral:lncRNA from 1 species
AGGGAGUGCGCGCCCGCAGCGCGGGGAGCCUCCUGGGCCGCCGGGGGGAACUUGCGGCUUGGGAGGGGACACCCACUGCAUGGCUUCUGGAAAGAGCCGGACUCGCAGGGCCAGGACGCAGGCCGGACCCCGGCCUCAUUCUUCGGCCAGUUAUCCCGGAGUGGCGCGCAUCCUGUCUUCCUGGGCCUCGGACUGCUCGCGCGCAGAGGGGGCCCGAGGACACCUCUGUGGGGUUAGAGGACUCGGUAAGACGGUGUGGAAGGCAAGGAGGAAGGUCGCGUUGUAUUGGGGAUGGGGUACCCGUCCCUCCCAGCUUGAGGGAUCCUGGGGGUCCUCGCCGCCUCUGAGGGCCUAGAUGGCUGCUUCCCUCGGCUCCCCUGCCCGGCCUGGAGCUACGGGUGCGCCCAGCUAGAGUUUAGGGCCACCUGGGGACGUGCAAGGGGCGCUGGAGCGAGGCGGGGGCUGGGGCGGGGCGUGGGUGCUUCACCCGCGGGGGACGCAGAGCUUAGGCGAAAGCGGUGCAGGCAUCUCUCUAAUCGCCGGCCGCUAUUAAAAAUAAAACCGCGACCCGUCGCCAUGGCGACCACAACAACAGCGGCCGCGCGAGGGAGGCGAAAACUUGUGCAGCCGCGCGACAGCCGCCUUCUGGGGAGACUCGGGGCACGACGCACCCGGCGUGGGACUGGGACCCCCCUGCCCGGCCCCGCCACAUUCUCCGCCGGAUCCCCGGAAGACACAAGGAGACGUGGACCCCCACAGGCUUUUUUGGGGGGAUUGGGCGUUGAAACCGCAGGGCUGACUUAACCAAGAGGUCACCGACUUGGAUAAAAAACCCACGCCCGCGCGGACCCCCCUCCCCGGCCUUCGUUUCCAUUCAAACUCCCAGCGUCCUCAUUGCAGCCCCUGGGGAGGGGGACGGAGGGACGAGGUGGGUUUCAGGUGCUCGGCCCAGGAGGGGACGGUGCGACCCGGGCCCCGCCGGCGGGUUUUGCGCGCGGAGGCUGCGGCACCUGCCCCGCCCGCCCUGCCGCGAUCCUUGCAGACGGGGGCGGUCACAUGCUUCUUUCUGGCCAGGAAUCGAGUUUCACUUCCAGCCGCUAUUAGUCGGUUCACACAGUUCACUGCAAACAUUUGAUAAUGAGGCUAAAUAUACUCCCGCGUCGGAGGAGGCGUGGGCGUCCCCGCCCAGGCCCGGGAGACAGAGGCGCUGACCCCGGGACAGAGCCUGGCUUUGUGCGGGAGGCAGACGCGCCCCGCGCGCCGCCCCCGAAACAUUCGCACCCCAUGCUGAGGCGCGCGUCUGGGAGUCCGUGGGCGCCCCGAGGGGCAGUGGAAGCCGUUGGAGGGCCUCAGGCAGGAACACAAGGUGUCGUGGCAGAAAGGAAGAAGGGGCCGGGCACGGUGGCCCACACCCGUCAUCCCAGCACUUUGGGAGGGAGGCCAAGGCAGGAGGAUCGCUUCAAUCCAGGAGUUCAAGAUCAGCCUGGGCAACACAGCAAGACCCCGUCUCUACUAAAACCCUAAAACUUAGCCAGGCUUGGUGGCAUGUGCCUAAGGUCCCAGGUCCUCGGGAGACUAAGGCAGGAGGAUUGCUUAAGCCCAAGAGUUUGAGGCUGCAGUGAACUAUUAUCACACCACUGCACUCAGCCUGGGUGACAGAGUGACUCUGUCUCAAAACUAAAUAAAUAAACAAUAAUUGUGUUAUUCUGUCUCCAUUUCUCGCAUACUGAAUUUAAGGUGGACUCAGCCAGCGGGUUCAGGCCCAGGGUCUGUCCUGCAGCUACAGUCAGGGUUGGUGGCUGCAG